AAACCAUCCGAAGGAAUUUUUAUUGUGCCAGCUUGAUACAGGGAAGAAUGAUGCAAAGAGCAAUAUGAAAGAAUGUUGAUGCACCAAGAACAUGAUACGCAUAGAGAAUGAAGCACUCCAUUGAGGUUACACAUCAAGUCCUGCAUUCUUCUCUUCUUCUAAAAUGUACUUUAGAUGAAACUGAUCAGCAUGAAAGCAGAAUUAGGGAUGUGUUUCAUAAAAGGGGGAGUAGUAAGAGGAGUCAAGAAGCAGCCAUCAGAAUUGUACAGAUCUGGGGAAGAUAUGGAUAAGUUUCAAUUCUUGCAGCCUGAUGAUGUGGACAGGACCCUUGGAGAAGUGAAGGCUACUACAGUACAUGACUGUUGGACCUUGCCCUUCCUGGCUUAAGAAAAUUGCCAGAGAACAA